GCUUAACGCGAAGAACCUUACCACCUUUUGACAUGCCUGGACCGCCACAGAGAUGUGGCUUUCCCUUCGGGGACUGGGACACAGGUGCUGCAUGGCUGUCGUCAGCUCGUGUCGUGAGAUGUUGGGUUAAGUCCCGCAACGAGCGCAACCCUCGCCAUUAGUUGCCAUCAUUCAGUUGGGAACUCUAAUGGGACUGCCGGUGCUAAGCCGGAGGAAGGUGGGGAUGACGUCAAGUCCUCAUGGCCCUUACAGGGUGGGCUACACACGUGCUACAAUGGCGACUACAGAGGGUUAAUCCUUAAAAGUCGUCUCAGUUCGGAUUGUCCUCUGCAACUCGAGGGCAUGAAGUUGGAAUCGCUAGUAAUCGCGGAUCAGCAUGCCGCGGUG
rnacentral:rRNA from 1 species